UACGGGAGGCAGCAGUGAGGAAUAUUGGUCAAUGGGCGCGAGCCUGAACCAGCCAAGUAGCGUGCAGGACGACGGCCCUAUGGGUUGUAAACUGCUUUUAUACGGGGAUAAAGUAUGCCACGUGUGGUUUAUUGCAGGUACCGUAUGAAUAAGGACCGGCUAAUUCCGUGCCAGCAACCGCGGUAAUACGGAAGGUCCGGGCGUUAUCCGGAUUUAUUGGGUUUAAAGGGAGCGUAGGCCGGGUUUUAAGCGUGCCGUGAAAUGUCGGGGCUCAACCUUGACACUGCGGCGCGAGCUGGAGUCCUUGAGUGCGCGGAACGUAUGCGGAAUUCGUGGUGUAGCGGUGAAAUGCCUAGAUAUCACGAAGAACCCCGAUUGUGAAGGCAGCAUACGGCAGCGCUACUGACGCUGAAGCUCGAAGGCGCGGGUAUCGAACAGGAUUAGAUACCCUGGUAGUCCGCGCGGUAAACGAUGGAUGCCCGCUGUUGGCGAUAUAUUGUCAGCGGCCAAGCGAAAGCGUUAAGCAUCCCACCUGGGGAGUA
rnacentral:rRNA from 1 species